AGAGUUUGAUCCUGGCUCAGAUUGAACGCUGGCGGAAUGCUUUACACAUGCAAGUCGAACGGCAGCACGGGGGCAACCCUGGUGGCGAGUGGCGAACGGGUGAGUAAUACAUCGGAACGUGCCCAGUCGUGGGGGAUAACGUAGCGAAAGCUACGCUAAUACCGCAUACGAACUCUGGUUGAAAGCGGGGGAUCGCAAGACCUCGCGCGAUUGGAGCGGCCGAUGGCAGAUUAGGUAGUUGGUGGGGUAAAGGCUCACCAAGCCGACGAUCUGUAGCUGGUCUGAGAGGACGACCAGCCACACUGGGACUGAGACACGGCCCAGACUCCUACGGGAGGCAGCAGUGGGGAAUUUUGGACAAUGGGCGCAAGCCUGAUCCAGCCAUUCCGCGUGCAGGAUGAAGGCCCUCGGGUUGUAAACUGCUUUUGUACGGAACGAAAAGGCUUUCUCUAAUACAGAAAGCUGAUGACGGUACCGUAAGAAUAAGCACCGGCUAACUACGUGCCAGCAGCCGCGGUAAUACGUAGGGUGCAAGCGUUAAUCGGAAUUACUGGGCGUAAAGCGUGCGCAGGCGGUGAUGUAAGACAGGUGUGAAAUCCCCGGGCUUAACCUGGGAACUGCAUUUGUGACUGCAUCGCUGGAGUGCGGCAGAGGGGGAUGGAAUUCCGCGUGUAGCAGUGAAAUGCGUAGAUAUGCGGAGGAACACGAUGGCGAAGCAAUCCCCUGGGCCUGCACUGACGCUCAUGCACGAAAGCGUGGGGAGCAAACAGAUAGAUACCCUGGUAGUCCACGCCCUAACGAUGUCAACUGGUUGUUGGGUCUUCACUGACUCAGUACGAAGCUAACGCGUG
rnacentral:rRNA from 1 species